AUUGAACGCUGGCGGCAUGCCUUACACAUGCAAGUCGAACGGCAGCACGGGAGCAAUCCUGGUGGCGAGUGGCGAACGGGUGAGUAAUAUAUCGGAACGUGCCCAGUCGUGGGGGAUAACUACUCGAAAGAGUGGCUAAUACCGCAUACGAUCUACGGAUGAAAGCGGGGGAUCGCAAGACCUCGCGCGAUUGGAGCGGCCGAUAUCAGAUUAGGUAGUUGGUAGGGUAAAAGCCUACCAAGCCUGCGAUCUGUAGCUGGUCUGAGAGGACGACCAGCCACACUGGAACUGAGACACGGUCCAGACUCCUACGGGAGGCAGCAGUGGGGAAUUUUGGACAAUGGGCGCAAGCCUGAUCCAGCAAUGCCGCGUGCAGGACGAAGGCCUUCGGGUUGUAAACUGCUUUUGUACGGAGCGAAAAGGUCUCUACUAAUACUAGGGGCUCAUGACGGUACCGUAAGAAUAAGCACCGGCUAACUACGUGCCAGCACG
rnacentral:rRNA from 1 species